rnacentral:tRNA from 1 species
GGUCUGGUGGUGUAGUUGGUUAUCACGUCAGUCUAACAGCUCGAGGCCUAGCCGCCUCCACUGGGCACACUGAAGGUCUCCGGUUCAAGUCCGGGCUAGAUCA